rnacentral:rRNA from 1 species
GACGAACGCUGGCGGCGUGCUUAACACAUGCAAGUCGAACGGAAAGGCCCUGCUUUUGUGGGGUGCUCGAGUGGCGAACGGGUGAGUAACACGUGAGUAACCUGCCCUUGACUUUGGGAUAACUUCAGGAAACUGGGGCUAAUACCGGAUAGGAGCUCCUGCUGCAUGGUGGGGGUUGGAAAGUUUCGGCGGUUGGGGAUGGACUCGCGGCUUAUCAGCUUGUUGGUGGGGUAGUGGCUUACCAAGGCUUUGACGGGUAGCCGGCCUGAGAGGGUGACCGGCCACAUUGGGACUGAGAUACGGCCCAGACUCCUACGGGAGGCAGCAGUGGGGAAUAGUGCACAAUGGGCGGAAGCCUGAUGCAGCAACGCCGCGUGCGGGAUGACGGCCGUCGGGUUGUAAACCGCUUGCGCCUGUGACGAAGAGUGAGUGACGGUAAUGGGUAAAGAAGAACCGGCUAACUACGUG